AUUAAAGAAGAAGCUAUUCAGAUAUCUUUGUACAUAAAUCCUUGUUUUGCUGAUUAUUUCCUUAGGAUAGAUUCCUAGAAGAAGGAUCACAGAGCCAAAAGUUAAUGUUUCAGAGGUUCUUAGUACAUUGUGCCCCAAUUAUUUCCAGAAGAGCCCUGCCAUUUUCACUCCUGCUCUGAGAGCUGCCU